rnacentral:tRNA from 1 species
AGUUAUAAAGCUGAAAGAAUAAGCAUGUGCCUUGAAAACACAAAAAAGGAGUUAGAACCUCCUAUUAACUU